rnacentral:rRNA from 1 species
AACGAACGCUGGCGGCAGGCUUAACACAUGCAAGUCGAACGGUUGUAGCAAUACAGCAGUGGCAGACGGGUGAGUAACACGUGGGAACCUUCCUAGGGGUACGGAACAACUCAGGGAAACUUGAGCUAAUACCGUAUACGUCCGUGAGGAGAAAGAUUUAUCGCCCUUAGACGGGCCCGCGUCGGAUUAGCUAGUUGGUGGGGUAACGGCCUACCAAGGCGACGAUCCGUAGCUGAUCUUAGAGGAUGAUCAGCCACACUGGGACUGAGACACGGCCCAGACUCCUGCGGGAGGCAGCAGUGGGGAAUCUUGGACAGUGGGCGCAAGCCUGAUCCAGCCAUGCCGCGUGAGUGAAGAAGGUCUUCGGAUUGUAAAGCUCUUUUGCCAGGGACGAUAAUGACGGUACCUGGAGAAUAAGCCCCGGCAAACUUCGUGCCAGCAGCCGCCGUAA